GUAGAUGCUCAUUCCAUCUCUUAUGCUCGCUUCGGCUUCAUAAACUCAGGAAUGAUGCAGAGCCAAUUAGGGUACCUGUUGUCCAGCCAGCCAAUAUCGUUCGCUUUAUUGGAGUUAAGGGCACUACGUUGAGUCGGGUACCAAUUCGGUUGUCUUACCGACCUGAUUUUUACACCUGCCUUUUUAGGCAGGUUUUUUUUU
rfam:Pantoea sp. PSNIH2, complete genome.